CCUACGGGAGGCAGCAGUGAGGAAUAUUGGUCAAUGGCCGUAAGGCUGAACCAGCCAAGUAGCGUGAGGGAAGACUGACCUAUGGGUUGUAAACCUCUUUUAUGCGGGGAUAAAGGUGUCCACGUGUGGAUGUUUGCAGGUACCGCAAGAAUAAGGACCGGCUAAUUCCGUGCCAGCAGCCGCGGUAAUACGGAAGGUCCGGGCGUUAUCCGGGUUUAUUGGGUUUAAAGGGAGCGUAGGCCGAGAGUUAAGCGUGCCGUGAAAUUUUGUGGCUCAACCCUGCGAGUGCGGUGCGAACUGGAGACCUUGAGUGCGCGAGAGGCAGGCGGAAUUCGUGGUGUAGCGGUGAAAUGCUUAGAAAUCACGAAGAACC
rnacentral:rRNA from 1 species